rnacentral:rRNA from 1 species
AUUGAACGCUGGCGGCAUGCCUUACACAUGUAAGUCGAACGGCAGCACGGGUGCUUGCCCCUGGUGGCGAGUGGCGAACGGGUGAGUAAUACAUCGGAACAUGUCCUGUAGUGGGGGAUAGCCCGGCGAAAGCCGGAUUAAUACCGCAUACGAUCUACGGAUGAAAGCGGGGGACCUUCGGGCCUCGCGCUAUCGGGUUGGCCGAUGGCUGAUUAGCUAGUUGGUGGGGUAAAGGCCUACCAAGGCGACGAUCAGUAGCUGGUCUGAGAGGACGACCAGCCACACUGGGACUGAGACACGGCCCAGACUCCUACGGGAGGCAGCAGUGGGGAAUUUUGGACAAUGGGCGAAAGCCUGAUCCAGCAAUGCCGCGUGUGUGAAGAAGGCCUUCGGGUUGUAAAGCACUUUUGUCCGGAAAGAAAUCCUUGGCCCUAAUACGGUCGGGGGAUGACGGUACCGGAAGAAUAAGCACCGGCUAACUACGUG